UGCAAGCUACGCCAAAGUUUUUAUAUGAAAAUAAAAUUUGACAACUCUCCCCUCUCUUUGUAUGAUCUCCUGCUCCCAUUACUACAACUAUAUCAUGUUGAUAGCUCCCUUUUAUCAUCUUCUCAUCAAAGUUUUUACACAUACUUCAUUUCUCAGUAUAUAUUAAAACUAGAUAUGUCAACAACUUCAACAAUCACAACCACCACAAAAACCCCCACCAUACCAUACCACUGCUUCUAGCCCAAGUUAAAGUUAUACUCAAUAUUCAUCUCAAUAAUAAUAGUAACACAAUAGUUCCACUAAUCAAUAUCUCAUGAGUACCAUUUCCUUUGGUUCAACAAAGGCUUUGAAUUUUUUCUAGCUCAUGGCAAACCAACAAGAUUUGGCAGUUCAUUUUCCACCCCAGAUUAUUAGAAAGAAGAAAACUGGUGGACAACAAAAGAAAGAGGAACUUGAAAAAGAGGUUGCUGAGCUUAGGAAAAUGUUGAAUCAUGAACAAAAAGUGCAUGAAUUUCUGGAGAAGGUGUAUCAGCGAAAGGAUGGUUCAUCUUUCAGUAUUCCAAAUUAUCUUCCUCUAAGAUGAAGGAGCUGUUUGCAGAACUAGCCAUGGUUGAAAAUGAAAUAGCUAAGUUGGAAAGCCAAAUCAGCCAGCUACAAUAUGAUGUGAAUAAGGAGAAGGAAAUCAACAUUACUGAAAAAGCUAAGUCCAAACAAUUUGGACCAAAGCUGAAACAAUCUCAACAACAAGGAAUUAUCAACCGUCCUCAUAAUAUAUCUUCAUCACUUCCACCAAAUCCAAACAAAUUCAAAGGGCUAAAUGAUCAAAAGUUGCCAUUUGAGACUAAGGGUGUGUUUGGUAUAACGGAAAAUGUUUUCCGUGGAAAAUAUUUUCCAAGAAAAUGUUUUUUUGGAAAAC